CGGCACGGGUGAGCAACACGUAUCCAACCUGCCGUCUACUCUUGGCCAGCCUUCUGAAAGGAAGAUUAAUCCAGGAUGGCAUCAUGAGUUCACAUGUCCGCAUGAUUAAAGGUAUUUUCCGGUAGACGAUGGGGAUGCGUUCCAUUAGAUAGUAGGCGGGGUAACGGCCCACCUAGUCAACGAUGGAUAGGGGUUCUGAGGGGAAGGUCCCCCACAUUGGAACUGAGACACGGUCCAA
rnacentral:rRNA from 1 species